rnacentral:misc_RNA from 1 species
GAAAUGCGAUAAGUAAUGUGAAUUGCAGAAUUCAGUGAAUCAUCGAAUCUUUGAACGCACCUUGUGCUCCUUGGUAUUCCUUGGAGCAUGCCUGUUUGAGUAUCAUGAAAUCUUCAAAGUAAAUCUUUUGUUAACUCAAUUGGUUUCUACUUUGGUAUUGGAGGUCUUUGCAGCUUCACACCUGCUCCUCUUUGUUCAUUAGCUGGAUCUCAGUGUUAUGCUUGGUUCCACUCGGCGUGAUAAGUUAUCUAUCGCUGAGGACACUGUAAAAGGUGGCCAAGGUAAAUGCAGAUGAACCGCUUCUAACAGUCCAUUGACUUGGACAAUACUUUUAUGAUCUGAUCUCAAAUCAGGUAGGACUACCCGCUGAACUUAAGC